GCCAGGUAUGGUGGCGCACACCUGUAAUCUCAGGAACUCAGGAGGCUGAGGCAGGAGAUUCACAAGUUCAAGGCCAGCCUUAGCAACUUAGUAAGAUCCUGUCUCAU
rnacentral:sRNA from 1 species